CAGCCGCGGUAAUACGUAGGAGGCAAACGUUAUCCGGAUUUACUGGGCGUAAAGCGCGUGCAGGCUGUUCGGUAAGUUGGGCGUGAAAGCUCCCGGCUCAACUGGGAGAGGUCGUUCAAUACUGUCGGACUAGAGGAUGGUAGAGGAAGGUGGAAUUCCGGGUGUAGUGGUGAAAUGCGCAGAUAUCCGGAGGAACACCAGUGGCGAAAGCGGCCUUCUGGACCAUUCCUGACGCUCAGACGCGAAAGCUAGGGUAGCGAACGGGAUUAGAGACCCCGGUAGUCCUAGCUGUAAACGAUGUGAACUUGGCGUCGGUGGGAUUAAAUCCAUCGGUGUCGUAGCUAACGCGAUAAGUUCACCGCCUGAGGACUACGGCCGCAAGGUUAAAACUCAAAGGAAUUGACGGGGACCCGCACAAGCAGCGGAGCGUGUGGUUUAAUUCGUUGCUACACGAAGAACCUUACCUGGGUUUGACAUAUAGGUUGUAGGGAACUGAAAAGGGACCGACCCUUCGGGGAGCCUAUACAGGUGUUGCAUGGCUGUCGUCAGCUCGUGUCGUGAGAUGUUCGGUUAAGUCCGCUAACGAGCGCAACCCUCGCCGUAUGUUAUAUGUGUCAUACGGGACUGCCGGUAACAAGCCGGAGGAAGGUGGGGAUGAUGUCAAGUCAGCAUGACCUUUAUAUCCAGGGCUACACACACGCUACAAUGGUCUGUACAAUGGGUAGCCAAGCCGCGAGGCGGAGCCAAUCCUGAAAGCAGGCCUCAGUUCAGAUUGCAGUCUGCAACCCGACUGCAUGAAGCCGGAGUUGCUAGUAACCGCAGGUCAGCAAUACUGCGGUGAAUACGUUCCCGGGUCUUGCACUCACCGCCCGUC
rnacentral:rRNA from 1 species